GACGAACGCUGGCGGCGUGCUUAACACAUGCAAGUCGAACGGAAAGGCUCUGCUUUUGUGGUUUGCUCGAGUGGCGAACGGGUUUGUAACACGUGAGUAACCUGCCCUUUACUUUGGGAUAACUUCACGUAACUGUGGCUAAUACCGGAUAGGAGCUCCUGCUGCAUGGUUGGUGUUGGAAAGUUUCGGCGGUUGGGGAUCGACUCGCGGCUUAUCAGCUUGUUGGUGGGGUAGUGGCUUACCAAGGCUUUGACGGGUAGCCGGCCUGAGAGGGUGACCGGCAACAUUAGGACUGAGAUACGGCCCAGACUCAUACGGGAGGCAGGAGUGGAGAAGAUUACACAAUGGGCGGAAGCCUGAUGCAGCAACGCCGCGUGCGGGAUAACGGCCUUCGGGUUGUAAACCGAUUUCGCCUGUGACGAAGAGUGAGUGACGGUAAUGGGUAAAGAAGCACCGGCUAACUACGUG
rnacentral:rRNA from 1 species